GCAUAACGCGAAGAACCUUACCAGGCCUUGACAUGCAGAGAACUUUCCAGAGAUGGAUUGGUGCCUUCGGGAACUCUGACACAGGUGCUGCAUGGCUGUCGUCAGCUCGUGUCGUGAGAUGUUGGGUUAAGUCCCGUAACGAGCGCGAACCCUUGUCCUUAGUUACCAGCACGUCAUGGUGGGCACUCUAAGGAGACUGCCGGUGACAAACCGGAGGAAGGUGGGGAGUGACGUCAAGUCAUCAUGGCCCUUACGGCCUGGGCUACACACGUGCUACAAUGGUCGGUACAGAGGGUUGCCAAGCCGCGAGGUGGAGCUAAUCUCACAAAACCGAUCGUAGUCCGGAUCGCAGUCUGCAACUCGACUGCGUGAAGUCGGAAUCGCUAGUAAUCG
rnacentral:rRNA from 1 species